rnacentral:rRNA from 1 species
UGAGAUCUUCGGAUGGAUUUAAAACAGCUUAGUGGCGGACGGGUGAGUAACGCGUGGGUAACCUGCCUCACACUGGGGGAUAACAGUUAGAAAUAGCUGCUAAUACCGCAUAAGACCACGGAGCCGCAUGGCUCAGUGGGAAAAACUCCGGUGGUGUGAGAUGGAUCCGCGUCUGAUUAGCCAGUUGGCGGGGUAACGGCCCACCAAAGCGACGAUCAGUAGCCGGCCUGAGAGGGUGAACGGCCACAUUGGGACUGAGACACGGCCCAAACUCC